rnacentral:rRNA from 1 species
CCUACGGGCGGCUGCAGUGGGGAAUAUUGGACAAUGGGGGGAACCCUAAUCCAGCCAUGCCGCGUGUGUGAAGAAGGCCCUCGGGUUGUAAAGCACUUUCAGUGAGGAAGAACGCCUGGUGGUUAAUACCCAUCAGGAAAGACAUCACUCACAGAAGAAGCACCGGCUAACUCCGUGCCAGCAGCCGCGGUAAUACGGAGGGUGCGAGCGUUAAUCGGAAUUACUGGGCGUAAAGCGCGCGUAGGUGGCUUGAUAAGCCGGUUGUGAAAGCCCCGGGCUCAACCUGGGAACGGCAUCCGGAACUGUCAAGCUAGAGUGCAGGAGAGGAAGGUAGAAUUCCCGGUGUAGCGGUGAAAUGCGUAGAGAUCGGGAGGAAUACCAGUGGCGAAGGCGGCCUUCUGGACUGACACUGACACUGAGGUGCGAAAGCGUGGGUAGCAAACAGGAUUAGAUACCCGGGUAGUC